rnacentral:sRNA from 2 species
AUUCUGCCCAAGCGGGGAAGGAUGAGAAGCUUCGACCAAGGUUCGACUUGAGCGCCAGCGAGAGAGCGUUGCCGCAGGCAACGACCCGAAGGGCGAAG